GACGAACGCUGGCGGCGUGCCUAAUACAUGCAAGUCGAACGCAGUGGGGACGGGUGAGUAACACGUGGGUAACCUCCCAUCAGAGGGGAUAACACUUGGACACAGGUGCUAAACCGAUACUGAUGGAUGGACCCGCGGUGCAUUAGCUAGUUGGUGAGGGAACGGCUCCCCAAGGCCACGAUGCAUAGCCGACCUGGGAGGGUGACCGGCCACAUGGGGACUGGGACACGGCCCAUACUCCUACGGGAGGCAGCAGUAGGGAAUCUGCGGCAAUGGACGAAAGUCUGACCGAGCAACGCCGCGGGAGUGAAGAAGGUUUUCGGAUCGUAAAACUCUGUGGUUAGAGAAGCGGUAUCUAACCAGAAAGCCACGGCUAACUACGUGCCAGCAGCCGCGGUAAUUC
rnacentral:rRNA from 1 species